rnacentral:rRNA from 1 species
GCCCACGUAUAACUACCCUCCAAACAACCAAAUAAUAAAAACAGUCUAAUAAUAUAACUAAUUUCAAGUACAGAAAUGGAAACGAUAAUAAAUAAAAGUAAAUUUUAAAAAAUGUACCUUGUGCAUUAUGGUUUUACAAGAAAACAAUUCAACACCCUAAUCCCGAAUUCUAAGUGAGAUGUUAAACUGCUGUUAUGAACCCAUUAAUAACUGUGGAAAAAGUUUUAAAAGACAGUUUAACAGAGGCUACAUACCAUCCGCACAAGAAUAUAGCUGGUUUUCAACAAACAUUAUACAUUAAAACAUAUAAUUAUAUUAUAGUGUUAUACUAUUGAGGAUAAGCCCAAUAAUUUAUGCAAUAAGCACUAUAUUCUAUCUUACCUAGUAGGCCUAAAAUCAGCCAACUAAAAUACUUUACCGUAGUAUAGAUAGAUAUAAUAUAUAGUACAGAAUGCCCAUAAAAGUUGAAAUAGUGGAAAAAUUAAAUUUUCCCCUUAUUUUAUGUAAAAAUAAGUAUUAUAAACAUAUAAAAAACACCAAACGAGUAACAACAUCACACUAUUAAACAAUUAUUAAUUAAGGAACUCGGCAAAUCAUUAUUUCGACUGUUUAACAAAAACAUUGUCUUAUGAAUAAAAUAUUAGAUAAUUCCUGCCCAGUGACACUUGUUCAACGGCCGCGGUAUCCUAACCGUGCAAAGGUAGCAUAAUCAUUUGCCUAUUAAUUGUAGGCUGGAAUGAAUGGAUUAACGAAAUAAAGACUGUCUCAAUUAACCACCUAAAAAUUAUUUUCUAUUUGAAGAAAGAUAGAUAAUCUCGAAGGACAAGAAGACCCUAUAGAGCUUAAUUUUAACUAUAGAAAUAAACUAUAGAAAUAUUCGGUUGGGGCGACCCAGGGCUAAUCAAUCACCCAUUAAAUAUAAGAUUAAUUAAUCUACUAAAUGACCCUUUAAUGAUCAUAAAAACAAGCUACCUUAGGGAUAACAGGCUAAUCCCACUUAAGAGUCCUUAUCAACAGUGGGGCUUGGCACCUCGAUGUUGGCUUAGGGUGUCCCUAUAGCGCAAAAGUUAUAUAAAGAUGGUUUGUUCAACCAAUAAUUCCCUACAUGAGCUGAGUUCAGACCGGCGUAAGCCAGGUUAGCUUCUAUCCUCGACGAUAAUAAUCUACUCCUAGUACGAAAGGACCUGAGUAGAAUAAUAAGUUAUUAUAAAGAAUUCAUAUAAUUAAAUAUAAAUAACAAUAACUAUAAACUAUA